rnacentral:ncRNA from 1 species
UACCUGGUUGAUCCUGCCAGUAGUCAUAUGCUUGUCUCAAAGAUUAAGCCAUGCAAGUCUAAGUAAAAGCUCUCGUACAGUGAAACUGCGAAUGGCUCAUUAAAUCAGUUAUGGUUCAUUUGAUCGUACAGUUUACUUGGAUAACUGUGGUAAUUCUAGAGCUAAUACAUGCGAGAAGCGCCGACCUCGCGGGAGGCGUGCAUUUAUCAGACCAAAAACCGGCCGCGUCUUCGGGCGCGUUCGCCUUGGUGACUCUGGAUAACUUUGCGGAUCGCACGGUCUAGCACCGGCGACGGAUCAUUCAAGUGUCUGCCCUAUCAACUUUCGUCGGUACGGUAUUUGCCUACCGAGGUUCUUACGGGUGACGGGGAAUCAGGGUUCGAUUCCGGAGAGGGAGCCUGAGAAACGGCUACCACAUCCAAGGAAGGCAGCAGGCGCGCAAAUUACCCAUUCCCGACGCGGGGAGGUAGUGACGAAAAAUAACAAUGCAGGACUCGUUCGAGGCCCUGUAAUUGGAAUGAGUACACUUUAAAAGCUUUAACGAGUAUCCAUUGGAGGGCAAGUCUGGUGCCAGCAGCCGCGGUAAUUCCAGCUCCAAAAGUAUAUAUUUAAGUUGUUGCGGUUAAAAAGCUCGUAGUUGGAUUUUGGGCGC